rnacentral:rRNA from 1 species
GACGAACGCUGGCAGCGUGCUUAAGACAUGCAAGUCGAACGGGGUCCAACCAGUCGCAAGACUGGGGAAGACCGAGUGGCGAACGGGUGCGUAACACGUGAGGAACCUGCCCCGGAGACCGGGAUAACCCUCCGAAAGGAGAGCUAAUACCGGAUGUCCUCGUCUGAUCGCAUGGUCGGACGAAGAAAUGGAUUCCGCUC